rnacentral:rRNA from 1 species
UGACCCGUCUUGAAACACGGACCAAGGAGUUUAUCGUGUGCGCAAGUCAUUGGGUGUUGAAAACUCAAAGGCGCAAUGAAAGUAAAGAAUCCGCAAGGAUACGACGUGUGAUCUGAGCAAUCACGAUUGCCUGGAGCAACAUGGCCCCAUUCUGGUCGCUUGCGACGGGGUGGAGGAAGAGCGUACGCGGUGAGACCCGAAAGAUGGUGAACUAUUCCUGAGCAGGAUGAAGCCAGAGGAAACUCUGGUGGAAGUCCGAAGCGAUUCUGACGUGCAAAUCGAUCGUCUGACUUGGGUAUAGGGGCGAAAGACUAAUC